ACACUGAAAGUCAGGAGAGAGC
rnacentral:misc_RNA from 1 species